ensembl:lncRNA
CAAACUCCACUGUGUUCUCACCUGGUGUUAGAGAAGAGCCAGAAGCGUUCACCUUGCCACCAUCUCUGCCUUAUCCUCCAAGCUGAUUUCUCCAGAAAAUACAUUUUUCUGAAUCUUCAAAACAGUCCUCCUUAAAAACAAACUGAAGACCUCAGACCUCCCACUGCAUGGGCUUGGAGAUGUGCAUUGGUUGUAUGACUUCAAGAUCUGGAAAAAUCAAGCAUGGAGAAACAGCACAACUUACUUACAGAACAUCAGAAUUUGGAAGAAAAUGUUGGAAAAUGCUAUAGACCCUGGCUCAAUUGUAGCAGUCAGCAGGCACCUGUCAGGUGUGGUCCUCCAUGAUGGUUAGGCUGGAAUUGUAAGAAAAGGAAUGAGAAGUCAUUUCCCAACGCAGUUUGUGCCCUCAGGUGGGUUGGAGCUCUCACAAACCAGGGAACGGAACAAAUGUGGUCCCAGGCAGUGACAGCGGCUUCCUAAGGCUCAGCCCUCAGACAUGAGGAGACGUUUCUGUACAUAUAAACAGUGCUUGGAUAAAAUCCUGCUGGAAUGCAACUGCUAAGAAAAUAGAAAGCAACUGGAAGCCUGUGUAUUGCCAAAGAGCAUGCUGGGCACUGGAAGUGGCUGAAUUUGUAAAACAAUUACCUUUUGUUUAUGGGUUAUGUUUUUUAUUUGAAACGUAUUGCUUGUGCAUCUUACAAGCAACACCUGGUCAGAGAAAGGGAAGAACUGUGCUGGCUCCCUGGGCACGCCGUGUGUGACAAUGGCAGGAACGCGCUGUUCCUAACACAUUUCUUGUCCUUUUGCAUUCCCAGCAGCCAAAAAAAAAAAAAAAAAAGAAAAGAAAAAGAAUAAAAAUGACAUCCUUCUGGAUUGCAUUAUACUUCUGGUUAUUUUUAGCCUAAAAGUGCAUGUCAUAAAGAGUAGGAAGGCUGUGAGGGAUUUGGGGUGAAGCAGCCAGAACCUUGAGGUACUGAGCCAAAUGUUUCUGAAAUGCUUCAUGGGAACUGCCGUACACGGCUCUGAGGGAGGCACGGCAGCACAUCCUUACCUGGCUGCCCCAGGUACACCCCAGCUGGUGGCACUGCUUGCUUCAGCCCUCGGUCCCGUCCUCGCCGUGCCCACCUCCAGCCUGCAGGCCUCUGCCUCGGGUGCUGGGCGCUGUCUCAGUAUGAAGGUGAACAGGGCCUGCCACAAAGGACCUGCUGCGGCAACGGCUGCUGCCAUAUCCUGUGCUAGAGAGGAAAUAUUUCAGGCUAAGGCCUGAGGGCAUCUCAGACUCUCAGAUUCUUGACUCCUAUUGCAUCUCCCGCCCCCGUUUUCUUCUCUCCUUACUCACCCAAAGGAAGCCCACGUCAUUGCUGGAUGGUGCCUUGCACUGUCAUUCUGAAAAGCUAGCACAGGCUUGCUAAAAAUAAAAGUGAGGGUUUUUUUUUUUUUUUUUUGUGAUGUAUAGGAAGUGAGAGCCUGAAGAGAUCUGUUAAUGGACAGGAAAGCCAGAUGGCCCUCUGGUUAAUACACAUAAUAAUUCCUACGUAUCACAUUAAACCGCAUAACUAUCUUAACAGGGAAGUGCUCAAAUCCCCUUUCAGAAAGGGUGAAGUCUUGGGUUCAGCAAUCCAAAGCACAAGCCUGUGCUGAAUUACUGGAGCAAGACGAGAAACAUUUGCUGUUUUGUGGGAUGCUCUUGCUCCCCUCCUCCCACCCAGCAGAGCGCUCACAGGCACUGCAGUGCUCCUCUUUGAGCUGCUUCAGCUCAGCAGGUGAUAGGUGCUCAGUGACUGCGCAGGGAGGAGGGCUGGAGCAGCGAGCACCGUCCUGUGAGCAGCCACAGAGAGCAGGGCGCUGGCUGCAGUGCUCAGGAGGCAAAGGAGAGCGGUGCUCACCCCACUGGUAGGUGGGCACGAGCACUCUGUCACUGGAAUGUAUGGAGCUGUAGUCAUUGAUGUGCCACCUCACAGGAAAGAGCAGAUAUUGCUGCAGUUUGCAGCAACAGCUGUAAAACAGAGACUAAACCCUCAGAAAAAAAGCUGUGCACUUGAGGCUGUAGGACUUAGUAAAAAGGAGCCUGAAGCAAAUCAGAGAUGCAGCUGAGAAGCAGAAGGGGUCUUCAGUAAAACUGUCACAAAGUGGCACCUGGAGUUCUUGGAAUUGUUAAGGUUGGAAAAUACCACCAAGAUCAUCUAGCCCAUCCAUCGACCCGGCACCACCAUGUCCCUCAGUGUCACACCUACCCUUUGUAAGCUGCCUUGCAAGCUUCUGAUUUCUGGAUGAGCUGGAGGGUAUUCUGAGAUUGAAACUUCAGCUGAUAGUGGUAGAUAUGUACUCUUCUCAGGCUUUGUUUGCCUCACCGUAGGUAAGAGGUUAUCCUUUCCUCUCCAGCAGUCUUUGUAACACCACAUGAAAAGGCAUUAUUUAAAGUUACGCUGCAAAAGGAGCGCCUGGCAUGGCUGUUGGCUGUACCUUCACUGUCAGUUACCGAUGCUGACCUUGCACCCCUGAAAAGGAUUUACACUCUGUGUCAGGUGCUUCCUCACUGCAGGAUAACUUUCACCACCAGAUCUUGCUGGAACAAGACAGCUUUAAAACUAGGAAAAAAUGAACGAGGAAAUCAGCAAUACCAAUUACACACCAAACGAAGAUAAGUCUCAUUAGCACUGUUUAACUAUCCUUAGAUUUGAAUUCUAAACAUAGAUCACAGGCAUUCACAGGAGCAAGUACUUGCUUCCACUGUUGUAAUACCUUCCAUACCUAACAUUUCUCUCACCUGUAUUAUCAAUGCUUUAAUGAUCUAUCUGCUGGAGUCACCAAUAAAUAAGAUGCUGACGCUCCACCACUUUCUUAGAAAUAGGAAACGUUGUUUAGCAGUGCCUUAUCUCUGGCAUUUGCACAGCAGUGAGCAUCCAGAUUACCUGUCUGACUUGUCAGCUCGUUGAGGGGCUCUGUGGCAGGGCCCUGCCUCAGGACCUGGUGCUCUGAACAAGGCAGAGGCAGGACAUUUCCACUAUGCAUGUGUGCAUACAUUUAUGUGUGUAUAUCCAUCUAUCUAGAUCUCUAAACACAACGUACCGAGGGACAACAAUAUUUGGCCUGAGCUUAUAAGACUUUAAGUCAUUUCUCCCUGCUCUUAGUCGAGCACUUGACCCAAUCCAUCCCUUUUUGGGACUAAUUUCAACUUAUUCACCAGUUCAUCACUACAAACAUGGCAAGGAACACACCUGUUUUUGCCUCAGUUCAGUGGCUGGCACAUUUCUGCACAGUGCUGGAUACAUCCUUUGCAUUUGGGUCUUCUACACAGGGGUAGAGCUGAAAAAGAGAGCAGAG